rnacentral:tRNA from 1 species
AUUUAUUUAGUUUAAUAAAACAUUUUAUUUUCAUUAAAAAAAAGGAAAUACUUAUUCCAAUAAAUA